CCGCGGGGGAAUCGCAGUGAGCAGCGCGGGGCGAGGCCGCCGCGGACGCCCCGUCGGAUGUGCCCUUCGCUGGGCCGAGCGGCGCAGGGUUGGAGAGGGAAGCGCUCGUGCCCACCUUGCUCGCAGGUGCCCUUGCUGACCUGGGUGAUGGCCUUCUCCCCGCGGCUCUCGGCCCUCUGGCUGGCGGCGCGCAGCUGGCAGCCGCUCGGGUAGGUGGUGCCGUCGCUGCCGCACACCGGGUAGCGGCUCUUGCACACGCACACGCCGCUUACACCCGGACCGCCGGCUGCUGCCCCGGCUUUACCCUUCCGCCUCUUGCGGCUCUUCACGCACUCCAUGCCCGGCGCGCAGUACCCCCUGCCGGCGCCGCCACCCCCGCACGGCUCGCCCUCGCCGCGGGCGCACAUAGGGCAGCAGCCGCACGCGUCGCGGGUCUCGCCCAGCAGGCAGCCCAGCGGGGGCAGGGGCGGGCAGGAGGCCGGCUCGCAGGGGCCGCAGGUGUCCGAAGAGGAGGAAGAGGAGAGGGGCAGGAGCAGGAGCAGCAGCCCAGCGGCGCCGAGGAGCAGGGCGCGCAGCGACGGCCGCUCCAUGGCGGGGUGCGGUGGCAGCGGCAGAAUUUGAGUAUCCUACCAAUAUACCUACAAAAGGAUGAAAGAAGAUUUGGAGUCAAGGGAAAACAAGGGCAAUAAAAUAGAAGCUUACCACCUGCUCUCAUACAGUUGCUAGAAGAGGACUGCAUAUUUGGUUCUAAGUUUCUGGAAGAUAAAGCCAAAAUAGAAACACAACUCAUUAUAAAAUUUUGGUGUAUCCAUAAAAUAAAAACAAAUGACCUGUUUG
rnacentral:lncRNA from 1 species